UACGAAGGGGGCUAGCGUUGUUCGGAAUCACUGGGCGUAAAGGGCGCGUAGGCGGCCGAUCAAGUCGGGGGUGAAAGCCUGUGGCUCAACCACAGAAUGGCCUUCGAUACUUGUUGGCUCGAGACCGGAAGAGGUGAGUGGAACUGCGAGUGUAGAGGUGAAAUUCGUAGAUAUUCGCAAGAACACCAGUGGCGAAGGCGGCUCACUGGUCCGGUUCUGACGCUGAGGCGCGAAAGCGUGGGGAGCAAACAGG
rnacentral:rRNA from 1 species